GGGGAUGAACUAGGCUCGACGGGGAAGGUUGAGCGCAUACUGCAAGCCGAGGCGCAUGUCCUCGUAAAAACGUGCAAACCAGUAGAUGCGAACACUCGCACUGCACCCGCUCUCGCAAUGGCUGCCUAAUCAGCUAACGCGGAGCCGCUGACCUGAGGGGUCAGCCGUCUGCCUGCUUCGUGGUUCGGGCGGAGCAGCCGCAGGCGUGACUAAGACCGAACUGCUGCGCUAUGAAGCUGAUAAAUAGCGCUUAAGAGCAUCAGCUGGCUGCGUAGGCUCUUGUCAGGCUGAGCUGAAGCAGCGAGAGUUAACCGCCUGACUACGCUUGUAGACGUAUGCGGGAGAGCUUCUUCGGACCCGGACUGCAAUGCCCGGCAUCUCCACUC
rnacentral:tmRNA from 1 species